rnacentral:lncRNA from 8 species
GAUAUGGAAGGUCACGUAAUGUAACGCAAUGUAGUGGUGAAGUGUAACGCUGUGUUGUCUUUCAGGAACCUUCUUCGCUGGGCCCCCAGGACCUGCUGGCCCAACUGGUCUUCCGGGAUCACCAGGACCCCAGGGUUACCAAGGUGACCCAGGUCAGCCCGGUUUACCAGGAGUUCCCGGAGAUCCCGGUGUCGGUUUCCCUGGACCCCAGGGACGACCUGGAGGUCCAGGACCAGAAGGGGACAGUGGACUUCCAGGGCCCCAAGGUCCAGAGGGCCCCGAGGGGCAACAGGGUCCAAAAGGUACACCCUUACACCCCUUUAAAGAUGCAGUCUGGGAUCUUAUUAAGCACUUAUACAUUCGUAACAUAUACGAAUUGCAAAAAUAAUUAAAAC